rnacentral:rRNA from 1 species
AUUGAACGCUAGCGGGAUGCCUUACACAUGCAAGUCGAACGAGAGGCGGACGGGUGAGUAAUAUAUCAGCACGUGCCCAGUAGAGGGGGAUAACUGCUCGAAAGCGUGGCUACUACUGCAUACUAUUGGAGCGGGCGAUAUCGGAUUAGCUAGUUGGGGGGGUAAAGGCUCACAAAGGCAACGAUCCGUAGCUGGUUUGAGAGGACGACCAGCCACAAUGGGACUGAGAAACGGCCCAGACUCCUACGGGAGGCAGCAGUGGGGAAUCUUGGGCAAUGGGGGAAACCCUGACCGAGCCAUCCCGCGUGUAUGAGAAGGCCUUCGGGUUGUAAAGUACUUUUGGCAGAGAAGCGGUAUCUGAAGAAUAAGCAACGGCUAACUACGUGCCAGCAGCCGCGGUAAUUC